GAUUAAAACUCAAAUGAAUUGACGGGGCCCGCACAAGCGGUGGAGCAUGUGGUUUAAUUCGAUGCAACGCGAAGAACCUUACCUACUCUUGACAUCCAGAGAAGCCAGCGGAGACGCAGGUGUGCCUUCGGGAACUCUGAGACAGGUGCUGCAUGGCUGUCGUCAGCUCGUGUUGUGAAAUGUUGGGUUAAGUCCCGCAACGAGCGCAACCCUUAUCCUUGUUUGCCAGCGAGUAAUGUCGGGAACUCCAGGGAGACUGCCGGUGAUAAACCGGAGGAAGGUGGGGACGACGUCAAGUCAUCAUGGCCCUUACGAGUAGGGCUACACACGUGCUACAAUGGCGCAUACAGAGGGCAGCCAACCAGCGAUGGUGAGCGAAUCCCAAAAAGUGCGUCGUAGUCCGGAUUGGAGUCUGCAACUCGACUCCAUGAAGUCGGAAUCGCUAGUAAUCGUGAAUCAGAAUGUCACGGUGAAUACGUUCCCGGGCCUUGUACACACCGCCCGUCACACCAUGGGAGUGGGCUGCAAAAGAAGUAGGUAGUUUAACCCUUCGGGGAGGACGCUUACCACUUUGUGGUUCAUGACUGGGGUGUUGUCGUACCAAGCA
rnacentral:rRNA from 1 species